rnacentral:rRNA from 1 species
GGACAGAAGGGAGCUUGCUCCCGGAUGUUAGCGGCGGACGGGUGAGUAACACGUGGGUAACCUGCCUGUAAGACUGGGAUAACUCCGGGAAACCGGAGCUAAUACCGGAUAGUUCCUUGAACCGCAUGGUUCAAGGAUGAAAGACGGUUUCGGCUGUCACUUACAGAUGGACCCGCGGCGCAUUAGCUAGUUGGUGGGGUAAUGGCUCACCAAGGCGACGAUGCGUAGCCGACCUGAGAGGGUGAUCGGCCACACUGGGACUGAGACACGGCCCAGACUCCUACGGGAGGCAGCAGUAGGGAAUCUUCCGCAAUGGACGAAAGUCUGACGGAGCAACGCCGCGUGAGUGAUGAAGGUUUUCGGAUCGUAAAGCUCUGUUGUUAGGGAAGAACAAGUGCGAGAGUAACUGCUCGCACCUUGACGGUACCUAACCAGAAAGCCACGGCUAACUACGUGCCAGCAGCCGCGGUAAUACGUAGGUGGCAAGCGUUGUCCGGAAUUAUUGGGCGUAAAGGGCUCGCAGGCGGUUUCUUAAGUCUGAUGUGAAAGCCCCCGGCUCAACCGGGGAGGGUCAUUGGAAACUGGGAAACUUGAGUGCAGAAGAGGAGAGUGGAAUUCCACGUGUAGCGGUGAAAUGCGUAGAGAUGUGGAGGAACACCAGUGGCGAAGGCGACUCUCUGGUCUGUAACUGACGCUUAGGAGCGAAAGCGUGGGGAGCGAACAGGAUUAGAUACCCUGGUAGUCCACGCCGUAAACGAUGAGUGCUAAGUGUUAGGGGGUUUCCGCCCCUUAGUGCUGCAGCUAACGCAUUAAGCACUCCGCCUGGGGAGUACGGUCGCAAGACUGAAACU